ensembl:lncRNA
ACGUCAACCAGACCUUCUCCAACGUCAGUGUACAAACAAAGCCCCCGGGACUUUGUUAAAAUGCAGAUUCCGAUUCAGCAGGUCUGGGAUAGUUUAGCAAGUUCCCAGGUGAUGCCGCUGAUGCUGGUCCUCAAACCGUGCCUUGAGUAGCAACAACAUAGACCAUGGCAGAUGUUCACAGUGGAGAGACCCAGUGAAGACAGUAGUUUAAGAAUAUUGAUCCGGGAAUACUCUCAACAAGCCUGGGCCAGUUCUGACUACUUUCCUGGCCUUGGUGGAAGGGUGAAUAGUUGCAAGCAGAGUUAAUGCUGAAAGCUGAAAUUUUUGUAUGAAAAGCACUAUCAGAUACAGCGCCAGAUGCUGGCUCUACAAACAAGGGAAGCUCUGGUCAUUGGCAUCGCAGGAUCCGCAUCCCACGGGGGAGAGAAGUCUGUAAGCCCUGGUUAGGACACGAUGGAGCAGGAGGUAUAAAAGCAGGAGACUCCAGCUGUAGAGGGAGAAGACACAGAAGCUACUGCCUCUGCUUCAGAGGAAGGGAAUUCAAGAACUGUCUGCCUUCCUCUCCAUUCCACCACCUCACGAAAGCCUGGAAAGGAUGACCAAGAAGUUAGCCCGUUAGCCAGCGCCCUGAGAAGUGGGUUUAUCUGGGUGGUCGUGAGGAGGAAGAGCUGUGGAAAUGGGCACCAGGCAAACCCCACCACAAUUUAGUCCCGUGAACUCCAUUUGGGGGAGACGGGGAGAUGCAGGGGAGAGGCGAAGCUGCCCUCCGCAGGCUGACACAGGCAGCCAGGGCCUGGCCUCUUCUGCUCACCUCACCCCUCUCCCAGUGUAUCAGUUUCUUACACCCUAUCCUUAGUUCCUACCACCCAGAAAGUUUUCCCCAAAUGAGCGGACCAGCCAUCAGCUCCCCUCCCUUGUGUAACCAAAUCUCUUACCCCAAAGAUAUGCUCAGACUCCCUGGCCUCCACUCAGCCCUCCGGCUUCCAGGGCGGCCAGAGCAGCCAGCCAGCCGGCCCAGUGCCCCACCGGUUUCUAAUUAAAUCAGAACACGUGCUUCUCUAGACACAGAACAAUCUCUUGGAGGAGAAACAACAGGUUCCUCUAAGGUUGGCCUUCCAGUCUCAUUUAGAUGGCUGUUUGUGAAGGGAAGAAAAACAGGCAGGCUUGAAAGGAACAAAUAGAUAUUUUAUUGUUUUCUUUUCAAGCUGUACUGCCAUCUGAUUCUGACUAUAAAGAACUUAAACGUGUCUCUGGAAUGGCAUUCAAUACUUAAACAAAAAAUCACAUUAAUGUGUUGGAGCCACAAAACUUAAAAAUGAAUUUCCUGUUUCCUUUCAGUUAUAAAAAUUUACCUAAUCCUCUCCAGAUUGAUCAGGGUUAGCACUGUGCUAUAGAAAUGUACACACUUCUGAAAAUAAAAGAGCUUUUC